CUACACAUGCAAGUCGAGCGGUUGCACAGGAGAGCUGCGCUCUCGAUUCGACGAGUGACGGAUGAGUGAUGCCUGUGAGUCUAACUGGCUGAGGGAGGUAACUUACUACUGCAAACGCUAAUUCAUACUACAUACUGUCGGAGACCAAAGGGGGGACCUUCGGGCCUCUUGCCAUCGAAUGUGCCCAGAUGGGAUUAGCUAGUGGUGGGGUAACGGCUCAGCUAACCAACCAUCCCUGGCUGGUCUGGAUGGAUGACCACCCUGGAACUGACUGACACACGGUACUCACUCCUACGGGAGGCAUGGUGGGAAAUAUUGAUCAAUGGAAAGCCUGAUUGAUGCAUGCAUGCCGUGUGUAUGAAGAAGGCCUUUUGGUUGUAAAUUACUUUUGCGGGAAGGAAGGUGUUGUGGUUAAUAACUGUUUUGUUGACGUUACCCAAUAAACAAGCACCUAACUAACUCCGUGCCACAGCCUAAUACAUACGGAGGGUGCAAGCGUUAAUAAUUACUGCUGGUAAAUAAACGCCACGGUGGCUCUCUGUCAAGGAUGGAUGAAUCCCCCGGCUCAACCUCCUGACUGCUGCAUAAACUAACUGACCUGCUAGACGUCUUGAGGAGGGUGGAAUAAUUUGUGGUGUAGCGAAGAAAUGCGAUAUAGAUAUGGAGGAAUACUGGUGAAGGCGACCACCUGCCUGUGACAAAGACUGCUGAUCAGGUAAGAAAGCGUGAGCAAACAAAGAUGAUAUACUAUGCUGGUCCACCACGCCAACAAUGAUGACUAUUUGUAGGUUGCGUUCUUGUCUUAUUGCUUCAGCA
rnacentral:rRNA from 1 species